UACGUAGGGUGCGAGCGUUAAUCGGAAUUACUGGGCGUAAAGCGUGCGCAGGCGGUUCGUUAAGUUCGAUGUGAAAGCCCCGGGCUCAACCUGGGAACUGCAUUGGAAACUGGCGAGCUUGAGUAUGGCAGAGGGGGGUGGAAUUCCGCGUGUAGCAGUGAAAUGCGUAGAGAUGCGGAGGAACACCGAUGGCGAAGGCGGCCAACUGGUCCGGUACUGACGCUGAGGUGCGAAAGCGUGGGGAGCAAACAGG
rnacentral:rRNA from 1 species